rnacentral:rRNA from 1 species
AGAGCCCAAACCAAGAAGCUUGCUUCUUGGGGUUGUAGGACACUCUAUACGGAGUUACAAAAGAAAGUUAUAAAUGAAGCGGUCUGGAAAGGCCCGCCAAAGACGGUAACAGCCCGGUAGUUGAAAUAGCUUUCCCUCCAGAGUGGAUCCUGAGUACGGCGGAACACGUGAAAUUCCGUCGGAAUCCGGGAGGACCAUCUCCCAAGGCUA